UGAGGAAUAUUGGUCAAUGGGCGCAAGCCUGAACCAGCCAUCCCGCGUGGAGGAUGACGGCCCUAUGGGUCGUAAACUCCUUUUAUGUGCCAAGAAUGGUGGUUACGUGUAACCAUUUGACGGUAGCACAUGAAUAAGCAUCGGCUAACUCCGUGCCAGCAGCCGCGGUAAUACGGAGGAUGCAAGCGUUAUCCGGAUUCAUUGGGUUUAAAGGGUACGUAGGUGGCCCGGUAAGUCAGUGGUGAAAUCCUGCCGCUCAACGGUAGAACUGCCAUUGAUACUGCCGGGCUUGAGUAUAGUUGAGGUAGGCGGAAUGUGCAGUGUAGCGGUGAAAUGCUUAGAUAUUGCACAGAACCCCGAUUGCGAAGGCAGCUUACUAAACUAUAACUGACACUGAGGUACGAAAGCGUGGGGAGCGAACAGGAUUAGAUACCCGUGUAGUCC
rnacentral:rRNA from 1 species